rfam:Myotis lucifugus cont2.68549, whole genome shotgun sequence.
GGCAGUUCUCGGGUGACGCAACCUGGAAUCAGGCUCCCUCCUUUCUGAUUCUGGGUGUGUCACCCGAGAAUCGCA